ensembl:lncRNA
AGAGGACCCGCGCUCCGCCAAGGCACGUCGGCGAGCCGAUGCGCAGAGACCCGGCGCGCAGGGGCCCGCGACCCCCGUCCGACUGGCCGCCGGCGGACCCGCGCUCUGGGCACCAAGUUGAGGCGGGGGUUCUGGACGUCUGUGGUUCCGAGCUCUGCGAGCGGCUCCCAGGCCGGCCGGGGGAGAAGUCGCCACUCAGGGGUCACCAGGGGACCUGGCCCGAGCGCGUCCGGUGGUUAAAAGAGGCCUCUCCAAGGAAGUGCUGGUUAAGUAAAGAGCAGGGCGAGGAGCCAGAUGUGAAAGAUCAGAAGCCCAUUACGGUCCGAGUGAAGAGAGCCAGACUGUCUGAAAUCCUUUGCUUCCCAUGAACAGUUGGUACUGGACCAGCGAGCCCCCUCUCUCCCCAGAGGCAGCUGUUCUGUAUGCGGGGCUGGAAGGCUCUGAAGGAGUUUAUGAGGAAGCACAAAGAGGAUCGGGUUGGACUCUGAAGAUCUGGGUUCUUGUUUUAACCAUUCCCCUAAUGGAAAGUUUGUGAUUUCAGACAGCACACUUAAUCUCCUGCUUCAUUUAUUCAUUGGUAAGUGAUAGAUAAUUGUUGAGGACCCCUCCGUCUCUUUCUGCAUUGUAUGCUUAUCUAUGAAGUUUCGUCUCUUCAAUUACAUUUAAAAACACGGUAGAACAAGGUGACAACUGCUCAAACUGGUAACAUGUCUUCAUCAAGUCCAGCAGGGUCGUGUAGAUGUGGACCAGAGGAGACGGCUGAGUGAAAAGAUGACAGUUCUCAAAGUGAAAACUGUUGGACCAGUGAAUAAACCCUGGCUCUCACAGACGUGGAGUGUUCCACAGACUCACGUUCCAUGUGCUCGUGUCAUGUGUUUACAGUAUUGAGAUGAAACAGACCACUCCGUUGUAACUCCAAGACACGGGGAUGAACGUGGGCUUUCUUCUCUACCGGGUGGGAGGGACACCUUGCUACACACAUCGGCACUCUUUGAUUCAUUACUGGUUAAUUUUACAAAAACUGGCAUAACUAUUAUAACGGCAUUUUGAAAAGUCAACUGAGGCAAAAUGAAUAAGAAAAAGGGUUGUCCUCUAGAAGGUCUCAGGCUAGGAGCCCAAAGGCAAAGAAUACAGUUACCACUGGCCUCAGGGACAGAGGUUGGGAAGGCCUUGUGAGAUGCUUAUUGACUCAGGAAGGCGCUAAGAAGGCGCUCCGUGGAAGACCGGGGCAGCUGCUGUUGCUGAUGGGAAACCACAGACACAAGAGCUUUUCUGGGAAAUGCAGUUUGGGGUUAGUUGGCCGACAGAUACAGAUAAUAGUUGCGUCAGGAAAUCGUCUGCAUAAUUUAAAGCAUGGAGCCCCUGCGUCCUGACUCCUAACACAUAGAAUCCAUAGGGCAAAAACAAAAACACCCCACAAGCUUCAGAAGGCCUGAGCGUCUCUGAGCGAAGGUCUGUAGAUGAAGGUUUGAGGCCGAUACCAUCAUUUUUAAAGUAAUGGGGUUGUAAUAAUUACUAUCUCUCUGACAGCUAAAACUUUAUUAUGUUAAACAUUAGAAACAUUGUGUGAAACAUUAGCAACCUAUUUUAAUUUUUGCUGUAACUUGAGCUUAAAUAGAUGUCCAGCAUCCGAACAUUAUUAGAUGAGUGUUUUGUGUAAGCACUGGGAUUACAUGGCUUCACUUAGGACAGGUCAUGUUGGACUGAAUUAACUUCUCCUGGGUAGAGUGAUUAGAAUGCUUUCAGUAAACUACUGACCAAGGGCAUCGUGUAAUAUACUUGGCAGCAAGAUUAGCAAGUAUGGACUGGGUAAGAGAGGAGUGGUUCAUAAACAGUUGGAGACGGUUGAAAGCACUGAGUUAUGGGGUGCUGUCUCCCAGGCUCAGUAAAUGCAGAACCGCCAUUGUACGUAGUUAUUUUCCUGUUACUGGGAGUAUUCAAAUACAGCCUGGACCUCAAUUUUCUACAUAUGCUGUAAAGUGAAUGAAUGUUAACUGUGGCAAAUUCAAUGAACACCAAGAUUCUUGGAAAAAAAGUACAAAAUUAAAAAAUUAACCAUCUCCAGGGAUCCAAAAUGCAC